rnacentral:rRNA from 1 species
CCUACGGGGGGCAGCAGUGGGGGAUAUUGCACAAUGGGGGAAACCCUGAUGCAGCGACGCCGCGUGGGUGAAGAAGCGCCUCGGCGCGUAAAGCCCUGUCAGCAGGGAAGAAAAUGACGGUACCUGAAGAAGAAGCCCCGGCUAACUACGUGCCAGCAGCCGCGGUAAUACGUAGGGGGCAAGCGUUAUCCGGAUUUACUGGGUGUAAAGGGGGCGCAGACGGCGAUGCAAGCCAGGAGUGAAAGCCCGGGGCCCAACCCCGGGACUGCUCUUGGAAAUGCGUGGCGAGAGUGCAGGAGGGGCAGGCGGAAUUCCUGGUGUAGCGGUGAAAUGCGUAGAUAGCAGGAGGAACACCGGUGGCGAAGGCGGCCUGCUGGACUGCAACUGACGUUGAGGCCCGAAAGCGUGGGGAGCAAACAGGAUUAGAUACCCUUGUAGUC